rnacentral:miRNA from 1 species
CCUCCCCCAUGCUUCUAGAGGGC